rfam:Ipomoea nil DNA, scaffold: scaffold3056, cultivar: Tokyo-kokei standard.
GCCCGUCUAUCUCAGUCGGAAGAGCGCAAGGUUCUUAACCUUGUGGUCCUGGGUUUAAGCCCCAGGGUGGGCG